rnacentral:lncRNA from 1 species
UCUGUCAGUCUCUGUGGUCCAGGACAGAACUGGCGUGCGUGUUAACUACUGAAUACAGAGCAGUGCAAACUUUAGCCAGUGUCAGCCUCACUCACUUCAUGUCAGAGGCCAUUCAAAGCGUCACACAGUUCAGGACUUGGAAACUGAUAGCCGGUUUGUUGGAGUGCUGAAACGCACCGGAACAGGAGGUGACAGCAGGUGACAGGCGCUGAGAUUGACAGGUAGGCGAGCUCACUAAAAAAAAAAAAAAACUUCGUACACAUGCUUUCAUUUAUCAUUUCUGUUUGGAAGUGUUGGCUUCAGUGUGUAAAAUAAAAGUGCAUUAUAGAGCAGUGGUGAAAACACCUGUUAUAUUUGUAUUGAGGGCUACCAUACAAGUUGGCAGAAGCCUGCUGGGCAGGUGCUGGGUUUGUUUGGGGUGUUGUGGUGAACGUGUUUUGCGCACUAAACUGUAAUUUGGUCAAAUGCAAUAUGAUAGGUAAAUACUAAAGCCUACUGUAGGGAAGCUUUCCCUUAAAACACUUGAAAAGUAAAAAAAAACAAAACCCAUAAAACUUGUGAUAGAACAGUUACAGCUUCAUGUCAGACUUACAGUAUGUGGUGGCGAUGGAAAAAUAAACCGCGCAGGUGAGUCAAAUUAAACUAAGAAGCUUAAUUAUGUUUUACUGCAGGUGAGUUCACUUAAAAUUUCGACCUUUUCCUGUCAUUUGCUUCGUCUAGCAAUAUUUUCACGUACCUGUGGAAGAGGACAGCCACGUCUAUCGACUCUUGGCUAUAAAAUGUAGGGUAGGAGGCACACAGACGCCUCCAAACACAACUGUAACCUCACAUUUUCUUCAAAAUUGGGUUCAAGUUGCAAUAAACAAAAGAAAAAAGUCAGUGUAUUUGAAGGCCUGAACAUAUUUGUGUCAUCACAGAAUUCUGCAGGUGACCUAAGAGGGUCCAUUUGUGGGACUAUGUGCAAAUGGCGUUUUUUUUAAAUUUAGGCUGGCCUGAAUUUGUUUUCCAAAGACUUGUCUCAGCCGCUUUCAUUGAGAGGACACAUCAAUAUGAUAUGGUAAGACUUUAUAUUUUUUCUUUUUUUAUUAAUAGCUUCAAUGUAGUUUGUGUAGUUGACUGGUUCGUAUGGUCAGUAUGGCAUUAUUCUGUAAAUCCAUUUAAUGUACGUGGUUACUGCUUGUUAAAGUUACUGUUUUAAAUAUUCACCUAUUUUUGUCAAACAUAUUUGACUGAUGAUAAACUGAUGGUAAGACCCUGUGAAGACUUAGUUGUAGUUUCCCGGACACUUAAUAUACCAAUAUAUCAACCUGACUCAAUGUGAUAACUGUUUUGCAAAAUUAUUUUUAAUUCCGAAAUUUCUUUCAUGCUUGAAAUACAUUCCCCCUUCAUUUUGACUUACCAUGUCAUUAUGUAUCAUGAGUUUUUGAGUUUUGGUUUUGGUAUAAUAACCAAAACCAAAACUCACCUUUUGAAGAGGAAUUUACCACAACCAGGGUGUGACUGUGUGAGUGAAUGAUUGUUGUAUCCAGUGGAAAGCACUUUGAAGGUCUCUGAUAAAGCGCUAUAUAAAAUCUGAUGCAUUAUUAUUGUUAUUAUCAUUAUUAUGUAAUUGCAGUCAAUGCAUGAUGAUGUUUUUGAUGUUUAGAUAGUCUUGCAGUUCAUUAAUUAAUUCCCGGUAUCAUAAUUAAAUUUUUAUCAUGGGUCGUGUUAGAUGUUUUGUCAUAUUAUAGGGUAAUACGUCGUCUGUCUCUUGUCUUAUUUUAAGUUUCCUCAUGAUUCUUAACCCAAGGAUUAGCUCUGGGUAAGAGUCUGGGGUUUUUGGCUAAAUGUCAUCAUUUGUAAAUCAAAGUGUACUCACAUUUAUGUUCAGGUAAUUUUUAAGAAACUCUCUCUCUCUUUUUUUUUCACUGGUAUGAAUUUGAUUUAUGACCCUUUUUUCUUUUAAAAAACAGAUUACAAGGAAAGUCAACUAGAGUCACAGACAACUUCCCUUCAGAGUCUCACCUUAUUUGACCUGUGCAGAGGACUCCCGUAUAGAAAUGUGAC